UAGGGAAUAUUAGAAAUGGACGAAAGUCUGAUCUAGCGACACCGCGUGUGCGAAGAAGGCCUUCGGGUUGUAAAGCACUUUUUGGAAGGAAUAGGAAGGAAGGUACUUUCAGAAUAAGUCUCGGCUAACUACGUGCCAGCAGCCGCGGUAACACGUAGGAGGCGAACGUUAUCCGGAUUUACUGGGCGUAAAGCGCGUGUAGGUGGUUCUGUAAGUAGGGCGUGAAAGCUCCUGGCUCAACUGGGAGAGGCCGUUCUAAACUGCAGAGCUAGAGGAUGGUAGAGGGAGGUGGAAUUCCAGGUGGAGCGGUGGAAUGCGCAGAUAUCUGGAGGAACACCAAUGGCGAAGGCGGCCUCCUGGACCAGACCUGACACUCAGACGCGAAAGCUAGGGUAGCAAACG
rnacentral:rRNA from 1 species